CAGGCCUAACACAUGCAAGUCGCACGGGCAGCUUCGGUUGUCAGUGGCGGACGGGUGAGUAUCGCGUAGGGAUUUAUCGUUGGGUGGGGGAUAACCUUGGGAAACUGGGGCUAAUACCGCAUGACGCCUGUGGGCCAAAGCAGCAAUGCGCCUGAUGAGGAGCCUGCGUCCGAUUAGCUUGUUGGUGGGGUAAAGGCCUACCAAGGCUGCGAUCGGUAGCUGGUCUGAGAGGAUGAUCAGCCACACUGGGACUGAGACACGGCCCAGACUCCUACGGGAGGCAGCAGUGGGGAAUAUUGGACAAUGGGCGCAAGCCUGAUCCAGCAAUGCCGCGUGGAUGAAGAAGGUUUUCGGAUUGUAAAGUCCUUUCGGCGGGGACGAUGAUGACGGUACCCGCAGAAGAAGCCCCGGCUAACUUCGUGCCAGCAGCCGCGGUAAU
rnacentral:rRNA from 1 species